rnacentral:rRNA from 1 species
AGCGAACGCUGGCGGCAGGCCUAACACAUGCAAGUCGAACGAAGCCUUCGGGCUUAGUGGCGGACGGGUGAGUAACACGUGGGAACGUACCUUUUGGUUCGGAACAACUCAGGGAAACUUGAGCUAAUACCUGAUGAGCCCUUAGGGGGAAAGAUUUAUCGCCGAAAGAGCGGCCCGCGUUAGAUUAGCUAGUUGGUGAGGUAAAGGCUCACCAAGGCAACGAUCUAUAGCUGGUCUGAGAGGAUGAUCAGCCACACUGGGACUGAGACACGGCCCAGACUCCUACGGGAGGCAGCAGUGGGGAAUCUUGCGCAAUGGGCGAAAGCCUGACGCAGCCAUGCCGCGUGAAUGAUGAAGGUCUUAGGAUUGUAAAAUUCUUUUACCAGGGACGAUAAUGACGAUACCUGGAGAAAAAGCCCCGGCUAACUUCGUGCCAGCCGCCGCGGUAAGAC